CGCAGCGACCAAGCAUUAAAAAAUGAGCGAGUGAGAGAUUUAAUUUUAAUUAGAUUGGCUGGAUUUUUAUUUAUUUUUUUGCUUUCAGUUGCAAAUAUGUCAUACAUUUUCUUCAGAACAACCUUAGAGUUCUCAAAAGAGUUGUCUGAUCGUCUGAAAAUGUCAGGGCUGAUAGAUAUUAACCUGAAGAACUUUUGAACCCCCAUGUCAGAUUUGAUCUAAAUGUAUUAGAUUUAGAGAUAUAUCAAACCAAAAACUGUAUUUUACCCCUAUGUUCCAUUUAUAGCCAUGUUGGCCAUAUUGUUUGGCAAUCAGGGAUUAAACAAGACACUCUAAUGAUCAAUUGUUGCCAAGUUUGGUUAAAUUUGACCUAGUAGUUCCAUAGGAUAACAUGUUUUUUAAAAGUUAACAAAGACGGAAGCCAGCCGCCGAGAUGAGAAAAGCUCACUUGACUCCCUUGGCUAGGAGAGCUAAAAAUCGACAAAGAAAAGAAAACUAACAGUGCUUUCACAAGAGAAGCGUUUCCUGCUAAGAUACUUUGAUUUUUUUUUAGAACAUAUGAAAAAAAAGAUAUGCAUCUGAGAUGUGUGUGCUUAUUGCAAAACCUUAUGUUGCCUAACGUUAAGUACUUUAUCAGUAAAGAACAGUAAAGGUAAUGAAAGACCUAAACGUGUGAUGAUCCAGAUUUCUCCAAAUGUGGUCUGAGUGCUUAAUAAGAUUUUACGCCAAACAAUAUAUUUGCAAACAGUUAGGACAAAUAUUAUGUAGUUCUGUCGUGCAAACAUUUUUAGAAAUUUAAAAAAAAAAUGUCAGGUUCUGUGC
rnacentral:lncRNA from 1 species